AGUUACGCUACCACAAACAAGCGUAAAAACACUAAUUGAUGGUAAUAAAAUUUAAAAUAACUGUAAUUAACGAGAUCUCGUAUUUCAUAAUAUAAUAUAAUAUAAUAUAAUAUAAUAUAAUAUAAUAUAAUAUAAUAUAAAUAACACCACCUAGAUUGUGAACCUAGAGAUAUAUAAUUUGGAUAAAUAUACAACAAUCGCUUUCUUGGUGACUGGCCACAGAAAGUCAGGGAGCAUAUACUUUACUUGCAGAAAAAAUGUCAAAAGUCAAACUAAUUACUGUACUAGUACAUCAAUUUUGACCAAAACCAGUGAAAGUUGACCAGAACUCAUCCAAACACAUCUCAAAAUCAUAGUUUUCAGUAAAAACAAUCAUUAUUUAAACCCAAAAAUUGUUAAUACUAGCACUUUAUAAGGAAGAAAAUUAAAGGUUUUUUAACUUGCAAAGAAGCAAAUAAUACAUGGGAAACAUCAAGCAUCUGUGAUUCUAAUUAUGGUUAGGACCUCACUAAAAAUAAUUUAUUUUUAAUUUUUAAUUUUUAACUAUGAUAUGCGUCCAUCAUCAUUGAGAAAAUUGAGAGAAUGAUAAUGGUGCUCCAUAGUAUAUCUUACUUACCCUUAAGCACUUGCCACAGGAGGCUUGACCACGAGGUCCAACAGGACCACAGAAAGCAGUCCAACCAUACUUGCUCCUCCAAGCCAAAGGCUUAUUAGCAUCCCAUGUCGAGCAAUAAGCACUAACAGCAUUCAAGUCCCAACCAACAUUCUGCGGGUUAUACAAAUGAUACGUUGCACGUACAUUUUGCGCGCUUCCUUCUGGAGUCGGACCACUUCCACUGCAUUGGCUCUGGCAACCUUGGCUAGGUGAACAGUAUUCGGGUGUCGAUCCACACCAUCCAAAUUGGCUGCAACAUAAGUUUCCGCCGCAUAAGGCUCCGCCCCUUUGCCUUCCGCACUGCUGUGCGUUGGCCACUCCGGAUACGAUGAAGAGGACUAGGGCUAGAAGAAUAGUAGUACUAGUUCGUUUCUCCAUUUCUUUUUUCUUUCUAAAAGAGCUGCUAUAAUGUGGUUGUGUGGAUGAUCUAAGCUUUAGGGGUUUUUAUAGGACUUUAUUUAUUGGUCGAUUCAUUAAAAAAUUUAAGAAAUAAAGACAUUGGCAAAUCUAUGUGUCUUGACCUAGUUACAUAUUAAGUUUAAGAAAUAAAGAGUCUUUUAUAUUUAGUGAUUUUAAAUAAAAUUAUAUAUUAUUUUUUUAAAUUUGUCAUGUUGCUAGGAGUUGAAAUUAGAAAACUUACUAAAUAUAAAAAGAGACAAAGAAAAUAGCUGAGUAAGUGUUAUUUUUAAGUCGAGGACAUGAAAAGAUUUAAUUUUGUUUAUAUUAAAUUAUAAUUAUAUAUGACAUAUAUAAUACAAGUAAUAUACAUUCUUAUUAAUCUAUAAUAUAUUUUUAAAUUUUUCUACUUAAAUUAUGAUAAUUUAAUUUAAUACUGUAGAUGAUUUAUUAUAAAUAUGGAGUACUCCUAUGUUUUUAUAUUCUGUAUGACUAGUGGCGGCUUUUAAAGUGCAUGAUGGGAGGCGGCUAUUAACAAAUAAUGUUGUACUGCGUCAUUUCUAACCAAGCAUCUAGAGAAAGUCCUCGUUGAAUUAAAAUAAUAAUGGACCUUUAAGAUAGAAAAAAUUUAGAUGCACUUUGUUGUCCCUACCAUGAUAUUUUUUUUUUAAUUCCUCAAAAAUAUACAUUUUGAUAUUAGUUUUUGUUAUCUCUGUUUAAAAAUAUUCAGAACCUUCAUACUUGAUAUGUGUGCUUUUCAUUUUGAUUCAUCAUUCAUCUGAUUGGGAAAUUUUAAAAAAUUUAACGACGAAUGACGUACUAAAUCAUUUUAAGUGUUAAUGUUUUAUGUUGAUGAUUAUUUUUUUUGAAAAUAAUAUGAUUAUUAAAAAAAUAGAAUGUAAUGGGCCUAGGAAACCCAACAGGCCUGUCUUGAACGACAUUGGAUUGUUGAGUUAAGCCCAUACCUAAUAUUUGGCACAAAACAAUAUUUGGAUGCUUCUCUCUCAGUUUUUCAACAAUUCUGAGGGAAGAACUUUCGAAAAAUUAUCCGAACUAGCAAUUUCCACCCACACAUUAUAUAACGUAGUGAAAUUAUAUAAUUUUAUAAUGUAUCAGUAUCUUAUACAUAUAUUUGUGUAACUAAAAAUAGUGGUCUUCACUGUCCACACAGUUGAUCACACAUACAUCCAAUUUUUGCGUUGCAAAACAUACAGACAUCAGACAGUUAACCACACAUACAUACACAUACAGUUACAAUCAUAUAUUGUAUUCGGGUGAUUUUCAUUUAGGAUGAGAUAUUGAAUGCACACAAAUACAUGUAUUCAACUACAAUUUGAAAUCAAAUUAAAGUGUAGCUACGUUUGAAAUAUAUCAAUAUAUAUAUCUCGUGCUAUCUUUUACAAAGCUAGGUGCUAAUAACGUUAUUUACAAAAUUUUCAAAAACUUUGAAUGAACUUGAUGGGCUUUUAUCUCCCUGUGGGAACUAAUUGGCAUUUUGAUUAUCAAGUGAAUAAAAUUCGUUCGGCUAGAAUCUCAUCUAUUACAACUAAAACCUAAGUUAAAAUUUUAUGAAAUCGUCGAGUUUGUUUGCCUUGUUGCUCCUUGCUAGGGCAUAUGUAUGUGGAUUCAACUUUUAGGCGAAAUUCAUUGUACUUUUCAAAUUAUGGACUCAAAUAAAACACUGCCCUUAUCCAAGCUUCAAACAAGUACUAUAACUUCAUUUAUUGUAUUAUACUUUUACAUUAAUUUGGGUAAUAUUAAAAGAUGAACUUUAUAGUCACCACAAUAAACAUGGCCAUAUAUAGCUUCUUAUAUAUUGUAUGUCAUCCGUAGAUGACAAGAGAAACAUUCAGUUAUCACCACAAUCAACAAACUGGUAGUUCACAAUAAGGUGGCCUUGUUGAUUUCCUACUCCGUCCGUAUCGAGUUGACGGAAAACGUUAACGUCUAAAUCUAGUCCACCAUUGCUGCAUUGAUCCACGAUUCUCACUAUCGUCUGAGCUCCUGUGCGUGUGUUUGUCACCUGUACAUAUAUAUAUGUAAUUUGUGAUGGUGUCAGUUCAUGAGUUAAAUAUUAGAUAGUUAGAAACUAAUGAAAUACGUACUAAACAUAUAGUAGUAAUAAUUUUGACCUCCAAAAGUCGAUGAUCAUUCAAAAUGCAGAAUUUUAGGGUGUAUUCUGUGACAUAAACUGCCACAAAACAAAUCUCUAUAUAAUAUAGCCACCCUGAUAUUUUUUUACUGCUAUAUCAAAUUGUGUUACUUUCUUCGUUUCAAUUUAUCUGACCUAUAUAUGUUGACUUAGCACAAAGUUAAAAAAGUAUAUAAACUUUUGAAUCAUUUGAUAUUAAAUUCAAGAUAUAUCAAAUGAACCAAAAUGUUCUUUAACCGCGCGUGUGGCCUCUAAAAAUGUCAUGUAGAAGGUUGAGAUUAAAAGGUCUUACUUUGUGAAAUAGACUGAAAAUGAAAGUAGGCCAAACAAAUUUAAAACGGAGCCAGUAUUAUAUUGAACAUGCAUCGAUCUAAUCUAAUGUAACAUAAUGAAAUGUUAUCAUAGAAGACGGUAGUAAUUAUUGAAAUGUUAUCAUAAAAAAUAGAGUAGUCCAUGCAUAUAUCUUACCCUUAAGCACUUGCCGCAUGAGUCUCGACCACGAGGUCCAACAGGACCACAGAAAGCAGUCCAACCAUACUUGCUCCUCCAGGCCAAAGGCUUAUUAGCAUCCCAAGUAGAGCAAUAAGCACUAACCGCAUUCAAGUCCCACCCAACAUUCUGCGGGUUAUACAAAUGAUAUGUUGCACGUACAUUUUGCGCGCUAGCCCCACCUCCUCCUGGAGUUGGAGUUGGUACACUGCCACCGCAUUGGCUCUGACAACCUUGGCUAGGUGAACAGUAUUCGGGUGUCGAUCCACACCAACCAUACUGGCUGCAACACAAGCUCCCGCUGCAUACCGCUCCGCCCCUUUGCCUCCCACACUGUUGUGCGUUUGCAACUGCGGCUAUGAUGAAGAGGACCAAAGACAGCAAAAGAGCAGUAGUACUUAGCUUCUCCAUUUUCAAAAGGGAGCUGUAUAAUAAUUUGAUUGAUGUUGUUUCAUAUGACUACUGAUGGGGUUUUAUAGGACAUGUUUAAUUUCAUAGUAUAUUUAUUUUGAUUUGGGACUAAAUUGUUAAAAACUACGUGUUGCGUGUGUCAUUUAAAUUUAGGCGCUAUAGCUAGCUAGCCAUCAUCUAUGCAUACAUGCUGCUUAGACUGAAUUAGUUUGAAAUCUUAGAGUUGACAAUUUGGGAUAUUAAAUUUAAAUUAAAUUACUUACAUGCAUGUACAUGAUAUGUUUUUAUAUUGAAAACUAAUCGUUAACCUUUAAACUUUUUAUUUACCUUUAAAUGUUGCCAUACAUUUCAUGCAAUAUUUGAAGUUGCGUAGUUAUAAAACUAUUGAUAGUUUAUAUAUAUAUAUAUUUGCUAGAUUUUAGUAAUCUAUAUUAUAUGCAUUUCAUCCAUUUGCUCAAUUCGAUCGAGUCAGAAUUCAAGAAUACUUCACUCGAUACUAUAUAUUCUUUCAAUUAUGUAUAUAAACUCCAAAAAGAGGGAAAAUAAGUGGAGAAUUAUUUUAAAUCGAGGUAAAAUUUGAGUCAAACUUAUAUUAUUAAAUUUUAUCCCCCUAUAGGCCUAUACUUUGGGGGAUUAAAAUUCAACAAUGAGACUUUAGGAGACGUAUACAGCAGCAAGGCUAGUGGCGGCUUUUAAAGUGCAAGACAUGAGGCGGCUAUGUUUGGAGUGCUCCUAUAUCAUAGAUUUAAUUAAAAAAAUUUGAAAAAUAAACUUUUAAAGUUAGUUAUUAUUGUCUUUCAACAUUUAUUUACUUGACAUUUUUUUGUAUUUUUGUGUGUGAAAUUCCAGAAAUUCACUUUUUUUUUUUUUUUGUAAGAUAAAUUUUCAAAACCUAAUUAAAUUUCAUGAACAAACAACAUUUUAAAAUCUACUCCCCAAAGCUACGUUCAAGCAGAAGUUUAAGUAUCCAGAGAAAGUCCUUCAAUACAAAUAUUUGACUUUUAACAAAGAAUACAGAAUUUUCUUUUUGGGUAAUUAAGAAAGUCAAACUUUAAAAAAAAAAAAAUAGAAAGACAAACUUUUAAUGCUCUUAAUAUUUUCAUGUUUCAGUUUACGAAUGUAUGACCGAGAAAAAAGGAAAAAAAAGUUUAGGAUGUAUCUUCUUUUAAUCUCUCAAAAAUUUAAAAAUUCUAAUAUUAGUUUUGUGAUUUUAUUUAAGCACAUUAAUUUUCAUUUACUAAUACAUGCGUACUUGAUCCAUUUUGUUAAUAAAUUUCAUGAAUUGUUAGUUGUUUGGAUUUAUUAUUUUGAUGAUUACUUUAUAUUUGAGGGUAAAUAUGAUUCUAUAAAUAAUUUAAAAAUCAUAUUCCUACAUAACGAGAUAAAAAUUAUAUAUAUGAAAGUUAAAUGUGCUUUGAUGAAAAUUAUUAUAAGAACUAAAAUGAGGCUCACGGUACCUGUUGUUGUAUGACCUUAGAGCUCGUCUGAAUAAUCUGAUUGUCAAUAAUUGAUAAGUUUUGAAGUGUUUAAACAUUGAUUAUUUUAUAAGUAGCUACAUGUUGAUACUUCUAGAACUUUUAAGUCUCUAAGUUUAUAAUAAGGGCAGAUGACAUAAAUUAUCAAGCAUAUAGAGGAAGGCAGAUAACAUAAAUUAUCAAACAUAUAGAGGACUAUAUAUAAAAGCUCACAUAAAUUUAAAUUAAUUACAAAAAUAUUAUAGUCUUGAAAACAUAGGUGUGUAUCUUAUGUUUGUGUAUUUUACAUAAAUAUGGCUUGAACUAUUUUAUAUUAGUGUGUAUCUCAGAUAUACGUGACACGUGUUAGGUAAAAUACAUGCGACUUGGUUUGUGUGUAUCUCAGGAAAAGAUACAUGAGACUUGAUUUGUGUAUCUCACGCGCAAAGCAACUUUUUCGACAUAUCUUGUAAUUAUUGAAACUUAGGUGGUCUCUUGUAAUUAGGGGUCAAACCUCCGAAUUUUUUAUUGUUUGCCCUUAUAUUAACUCUAUCAAAGUUUCCUGGACUACGAAAUCAGUUACUCCCUCCAUCUCAUAUUACUUGACAUGUUUGUAUUUUGCACAAUUCUUAAGGAGAUAUUAAUAAGGGGGGUAAAUUGAUUAAUAUAAUCCUAUUAAACACAUUAAAUGUUAUCAUUACCUACUGGAAUUAAUUAAAUUACUAAAGGUAAAAUUGAAAAAAAGUGUUCAAUUAUCUCUUAAUUCUUUAAGUGUGUCAACUAUUUUGAGAUAAAUUUUUUAUAACAAACAUGUCAAGUAAUAUGAAAUAAAGGAAAAAUCUUGUUUGUUUUAGUAGUUAUGUGAGAGCUUUGAAUCUCCUGUUAUUGAAUUCAUGACCUUCACUCACCGAUUAUAGAAUUGUUAAAUUCAUGUUCAUGAUGUCCAACUUUUACAUUAACUGCCAAAAGCGUAGAUAGCAAAGUAGUUUUCUUCUAUGUUGUUUGGGAGUCUUCAAAAAUAUCAACAACCAGUACAUAUUGAAUUCAUUAAAAUAAUUUUAAAGAAUUCAUACUAUAAAUGCACAUUGAAAGUGAAGAAUUUGAGCAACUUAAGUUUUUUUGGGGUUGACAAACUAACAUCUCAAAUGCAUCACAUUAUUUGAUUCAAGUAAAAUCACAUAGAAGUAAUUUUAAAACGUAGUUAUGUGGUUGUCAUUGGGAGAAAGCCUCAAACAUUAUUAAAGAUCAAAUCAGAUAAAGAUAUCUCGAAAUAUUACCACAUUAUAAUGGGCCUAGGAAACCCAACCAGGCCCAUCUUGAAUCAAAUUGGUUUGCAAUCGAAGCCCUUAUAAGCCCAAACCUAAUUAAUACUUGCCACAAACACACUUCCAUCUCUCUCAUCAGCUAAAAGUAUAGUGGAUUUCAAGAUUUAUAUUCGAUGUAUUCAAUCUUUAUGUUCUUAGCACUAAAAUCGUAUUACUUUUGAAAUUAAAAAAAAUUAAAUUUAAUAUAUUUUAAAAAUAAAUGGAUAGCUUUGAGCGUGUAAAAAUUGUUUACAUUGACGUUGCAUAUUAGUUUAAGAAAUUCAUAACGGACAUGUACUUGUAGACAAUAUUGUUGGGCUACAAGAUUAUUAUGCAUCUGCUCCAAAGAAAUUACAUUUUUAUGCAUUGUGUUUUGCAUAGCUGGUCAAUUUUGUUUAGUUAGCCAGUUUAUUCCUUGUAGUUGUUUCUAAAUACCUUCCCUUUUUCCCAACUCAUGACUCCAUAAAAAUUACCAACUCAUAACUUUCAUCAAAUCAAAUAAUUUAAUUUCAGCUGUCAAAACAUACUUUUGUAGAUUGGGUAGACUAUAUUGAGUAAAUUAUGAGAAGAUGUGACCUUGUCUCGAACCAAUUGAUUGACGUGAUUCGUGAAUAUGUCUCACUUAUGACUUAUCCACAGCGGCUGCGAAUACUCGAAUAUAACUUUUAUUUAAUAAAUUCAUCUAAAUUCAGUAUUUUAAAAAUAAAUAUAUACAUAAAAUCACAAAUAUUAAAAUUUUAAAUUCGUAAUUACUCUUAAAACUUCAAUGUGUAUGAUACAACGAAUCUUUAAAGUUGAAUUCCGUCAAAGUUUAAAUCUCGAAUCUAACUCCACUCAAUAAGUCAUAUCCUACCAAUAAUGUCGAAAAGUGUUCUAUGACUUUGUUGUAACGUGUCGUGUGGAUAUGGAUAUACUAGACCAGGUUAAAUGUAUCCACCUAUUUAUGUAUUUUCAAUUGAUAGGUGAAAAGCAGUAAUUGGAAUUUAAUAAUAUGGAAAACCAAUUUAAAUGAAAGGACAGUACGGUUGUGUUAGAAGUCUUCCAUGCAUGCAUGCAUGAUAAGGAUGUCACAGAUAAUAUAAUAAGUAUGGAAUAGUCUAAUGUUCUAAAAAUUGAUAAAUGAGGAAAGAGACAAAGCAUAGACAGCUCAAUAAAGAAGAUUAUUUAUUUUGUUUAAUAUAAUACAGAUUAUUUUUUACUUGUUCAUUUGGAAUUUCCCUGGUCAUUUAAUGGAAAUAACGUUAAUCUAGUUGAGUGGCGGAGCAGGAUUUUUAUUGAGAGAGUUCAGAAGUAAAUAUGCAAACUAACUGAAGAGGGUCUCACAUAUACUUUAUACAUAAAAAAUAUCUUUUGCCAUGUAAAAUAGUAUAAUUUUUCAAUGAAGGAGGUUCAUCGAGUUUGGAUAUGAACCCUCUGGAUGAAUGGGGGCUCCGCCCCUGAUCUAGUUUAUAAUGCAAUUAAGUGAAGAUUGAAAUUAUAAGAUUUUAGAUCGAUCAUUUUUCAAAAGAGUGCGUGCAAUAUCCUGUGAUUACUUUACAAAAAUUGUAUAUACAAGAAAUAUCUUUGAAAGUUUAAUACCCUCGGCUUAUUAAUUUCUAUAGGAGCAUUUUUUGAAGCACUUGUAUUUAACUGAAAAUAACCUCACCAUUAACAUAAUAAAAAAUUUUAAUACAAAGUAUUGACCCAUUGCAAUUUAAUAAUAACUCUAAUAGUACUAUGCAUUUGGCUAAAUUAAAGUGUUCCCAUACAUGACAUAUAAAUGUAAGAAUUUAACAUCAAUAUCACUAUAUAAUUCAAUGUUAUUGAGCACCAAAUGAAAGAAUUUAAUUUGUUAGAUCAUUUUCAAUUAAAGCUGGAAGCAACGAUAUCGACUUAUUCGGUGGCAGAGAUCUGACAAUAGAUACGAUGGUUCAAUAGGAUAUAGUGUUUCAAGGCUGAACCCUACAUAUAUGUGAACAAAAAUAUGUAUAGAUAUAGGCAUGUUUGGUAUGAGCCAAAAAAUAAAAAAAUUAUGUAGAAAAUAAGAAAAGGAAACCAAGCUAUUUAUACUCUUAAGGUGUGGGCUUUUAGAGAAAAUUGUACAAAUUUAGCUCAAAAUGAAUAAUAUCACAUCAUAUGAAGAGUAUAUUUGAGCUACUGAUUCGGCCACACAAGUAUGCAUAAGAAGGGAGUGAUUGUCAGAGGCGGAGCCAGAAUUUCAAGUAAGGGGUUUCAAUAUUCAAAGAAAACUAAAUCGAAGGGGGUUUAACACCUACUAUAAUCACAAAAAAAAUAAUUUUAAUCAUAUAUAAAUAGUAUAAUUUCCCGUCGAAAGGGGGUUCGAACGGACCCCCUAAAGAGGGCUGGCUCCGCCUCUGGCGAUAGCAUGGGCAGAGACACCUAUAUCAAAGGGUGGUCAGGUGCUCACCCUUCAUUGGAAAAUUAUAUUGUUUAUAUAGGCUGAAUCUUUGUUAUUACGAUUGUGUAUUUGAUGUUGCACACCCUAAACACAAUUGAAAAGAAAAUUUACACACUCUUUAUCGAAUUUUCGACUCACUAAGUGAUAGUUGUGUGGUCCAGCUUAGUGCGUUUACUCUUCGAUUGGCCUGUUUGCUAUGUUGUAUCCGUGUAUUUGAAGACGCACAUAUAAUUAAAAAAGAGCUUUGGUGACUAUAAUUAGUUUGAUAAUGUGGCUGGCUGACACAUAAUUAAUUUCUAAAUUAGUCCCUAAAUGAUGAUUGAUGGUGUAGAAGGUUGUGUUUUUGUGUUUGAUUAAUACAUGCUGAAACUUAUUUUCUCAACUAAAAAAUGGCACGCAGUUUCUCCGAUAAUAAAAAUAUGUGUGUUUCAUCUGAAUUAUCCGAAUUGUCCAGCAGUGCAGGAUGAAAGUGUGUAUAUUUAGAAUUUGGAUCCAACUCAUUGAGCAUAGGUAAAAAAAGAGAGAGAAAUGAUUUUCCAUGAAGAUUAGAAUACAAGUGUCUGACUCACAAGUCAGAGCCAACCAAAAAGUCCAUUAAAUGCACACGUGUGGUCAUUUAAGUAGUAUUUAAUUUCAUUCAUCAGAAGAAAUCACAAAAAUAUGGAUGACUCUGAGCUGUGUUAAUGGGCCCAAAACACACGAGGGCCUUUUUUGUAUUUGUGGGCCCAAAAUGGCCUAAAUAGUCAACACUCCCUUUCGUCUUUGUGCGAGGACACUGUCCUUUUCAUUUCCUGCUCUUUAUGUCUUUUCACUCGAAUUAACAAAAUUGUUGAUAUUCAUGCACACCUACAUGUUUAUAGUAGAUGUACAAUUUAAGAAAUGAUGAAACUUCAGGUAGAAAGAAACCAGCGACGUGUUAUAUGAAAUAUCAGAUAUUCUGUCCGACCGAUGUUAGGGUUGACACAAGCAUAACUUCAUACACCACAUAUUAAAGAUACUUGAAGUAAUUUUUUAUGCGUUGCCGGUGUCGUUUAAAUGGUCUAUCUCUGAGUCCGGUAUCUAUGCACUGCUGGGGAAUAAAGAAAAAUAAUAUUAUUAUAUAACUGUGAACAAAAUAUUAUUUUGAUAAUAUUAACAAUAUAAUAUAACAGUGUAUAUAUAUUUAUUAUACUUGAGUCGUGUUUCCCCAGGAUUAAACAAGCACUUCUCUAAAUAUUUAGAAGAUACAGGAAUCAACAAAACUAUUAAUACAAAUACCAACAAGUUAAUUUGGAAAAUGAUAUAACUAAUAAUAAGAAUUGUAUAAUAGUAAUGGAGAAGUAACUGAAAUGAAAAAGAAGAAUGAUUUAAACAAAGUGUGUGUUAUUGUUUUUUCUCUCUACUUCAUAACAUACAAAGAAACAUACAUAUAUAUAGGCAAAAUAAUGAAUAUUCUUCCUACUAGAUUAUAACAAUUGUUAGUACACUUGUUUUUUGAUCAAAGGAAAGUUGCUUCUUUUGCUAUUAUUGAUACACAUAUUAUACUAAAUGUCAAGAAAGAACCAUACUCCUUUCAAGAUUAUACAAGUGUCAUACCAUGUGUUUUGAUUCAAUGGAGUAACACAACUUUGGCUCUUUUCCAUACACCAACAUAGCCAAAUGACAAAUUUAAAAACAUUAUGCAACACCUCUUAUUUUUCAUGAAAAUGACUUUUUUUUUUUUCAAAUAAUAAUUAUUUUAAAAUAAACUAUAAUUUUUCCUACAAUCCCCACAUUAUUUCAAAAUAAUUUAUAGAAAAAGACAUAUUAACUUGUUGGAUUUGCAUGGACAAAAUGCAGUUGAUUUGGUGUCUUCUGGACUAUGAACCAAAUUUAGACCAAUAAAAUCUAACUUACAGAAUUACCAGUGAAAUAUAAUAUUUCUAUGAACCGAAUAAUUCUUAUUGUAAGCCAGAGAUUUUAUCAAUCACAAUUCGAUCGUAAUUUUGUUGUUCAACGUGAUUUUGCGCCAAUAGGUCAUGCGCUCGCCUGGUAUUCAUGAGAGCUCUAGAGACUAAGACCAAAAGUCUCAUAGGAACGGCCUCAUUCCACUUCUCAUAUAGGUGAUUUCAUCAAGUGUACACUGUCUUAAAUACACCACCCGUAAGGAUUAUGAAUUUAUUAAGAGUUAAUUACCCAUCCCUCCAUUUUAGUAGCAGUUUAAGCACUAUCAAUAAGUACGCAGAGUCAAUAUCGACUUGUUAUUACCCAUAUGAACAUACUUCAUGGGAUCUCCAAUCACAUAGGUUGGGUUACCAUCUCUAUUGACAAUCAUAUUGGCCUUAACUCCAUCUCUUUUGAGGUUUGAAGAAUUAAUUUUCUUCCCACAGGUUUAGUCAGUGAAUCGGCCGAAUUCAAUUCUGACUUUACAAAAUCAAUGGAAAUUAUUCCAUCUCUCAGCAGCUGCUUAAUAACAUCAUGCCUCAAUUUCAUAUGUCUACUCUUACAACUGUAAGAUUUAUUCUUCGCAAUAGCAAUUGCGGCUUGACAAUCACAGUGUAUAUACACAAGAGGCAUCAAAUCAUCCCUUUUUCGAGGGAUAUUAGACAACAGACCAUCCUUUUUCAAAGGGAUAUUAGAAAACAGAUCAUCCUUUUUCAAAGAGAUAUCAGGCAACAGAUCAUCCUUAUUUAAAGGGCUAUGAGGCAACAGAUCAUCCUUUUUAAAAGGGAUAUUCGCUAAGAAAUUUCUUAGCCAUUCAGCCUCAGUACCAGCUAACUCCAGAACAACAAACCCUGACUCCAUAGUUGAUCUAGCAAUGAUCGUCUGCUUAGCUGAUUUUCAUGACACUGCACCGCCACUAAGCGUGAACAUAUAACCACUAGUGGAUUUUGUCUCAUCUAAAUCAGAGAUCCAAUUUGCAUCACAAUGCCCUUCUAAAGUAGAAGAAAACCCACUAUACAAGAUACCAUAAUUCACAGCUCCUUUUAAAUAUUUCAUCAAUCACAUUAAUGCAGACCAAUGUUCAUUAUUGGGAUUAUGAGUAAAUCUACUCAAUCUACACACAGCAUAGGUUAUAUCAGGCCUAGUAAAAUUCAUUAAAUAAAUUAGACUCCCAAUGAUCUGUGCAUACUUAGACUGAGAAACUGGGUCUCCAUUAUUCCUUUUUAAUUUAGAAUUAGCAUCAUAAGGAGUGGCUACAGGAGUUACCUCCCAACAUUCAAACUUCUUUAGAAGUCUUUCCACAUAAUGUUGUUGUGACAACAUUAUACCAUCUUCACUCCUUAUAACUUUAAUUCCCAAUAUCAUAUUCACUUCACCCAAAUCUUUCAUAUCAAAGUUAGUAGACAAAAAUAAUUUGGUAUGUUCCACAAUAUUUAUACAUGUACCAAAUAUAAGCAUGUCAUCAACAUAUAAACAAAUUAUCACAACAUCACUGUCUACUACUUUUGUAUAAACACACUUAUCUAACCCAACAGAAGAAAAACCUUCUUUUAUCAAGACUUGAUCAAAUUUCUCAUGCCACUGUUUAGGAGCUUGUUUAAGGCCAUAAAGAGACUUAGUUAAUUUACAAACUUUGUUUUCUUGUCCAGAAAUCACACAUCCUUCAGGUUGAACCAUAUAAAUUUCUUCUUCUGAAUCACCAUUUAAGAAAGCUGUUUUUACAUCCAUUUGAAGGAUAAACAAUUUAUGAAUUGAUGCUAAAGCAAUUAAUAUUUGAAUAGAAACAAUUCAUGUUACCUGUGCAAAUGUAUCAAAAUAAUCAACAUUUUGCUUUUGAGAAAAUCCUUUAGCUACUAACCGAGCUUUAUAUUUAUCUAAAGAUCCAUCCGCAUUAACUUUCUUUUUAAAAAUUCAUUUACAAGCAAUCGGUUCACUACAAAAAAAAUAGCAUUUAGCGACACGCCAUAUUCGUCGCUAUCAUAUGAAAAUCCGACGCUAAAUAUAAAUAGCGACGGAAUAGCAACGAAAUUUGUUCCGUCGCUAUAUUGCUCGUUGCUAACCUCAUAGUGAAAAAAAUUGAAUUCCGUCGUAAAAUUUGUGACCAAUUGGUUGUUGAUAUUACUGACGUACAUUUCCGUUGCUAUAGCGUUGCUAUUCCCAAAAUUCAAUUUGAUCGUGGCUUAAUUUACGACAGAAUAUUUUAUCGUUGAUCCGUUGCAACAUAAUUUGGUCUACUUAUUUAGCAACCAAAUUUAUCCAUCGCUAAAGUUUUUCAGUAGCUACGACUGAUGUUAGUCACUAAUUUUUUGUCGCUAUUACCGCCAUAUUAGCAACUAAAUUAAUCCGUCCCUAAAGUUUUUCAGUAGCAACGACAAAAGUUAGUCACUAAUUUUUUGUCGCUAAUAAUUUUAUAAGAAAAUAGUUGAAACACGUAAAUUAUAAAAUGAUUAAAUAUCCAACAUUCAAAUAGAUAGCAAAAUUCACAACAAUUGUGUCCAACACCCACAAUUUCAAGUAUUUUAUCAAACAUAAACUAAUGUCAAAAUAGUCUAUCAAAAAUUAGUGCAAUGAUCAUGGACUACGAAUAAUAUGAAGCUACGAAUCAACCUCGUCAUCAUUAUCAUAAGUAGGAGGAGGAUCAAGCACGGCCCCAUCUUGUACCCUAGUACCACCAACACACUCAAUAACUAUCGGAAGAAAAUGAGUAGUAAGGGCCGGAAUCAAUUGUUUCACCAACUCCUUCAUAUUUGUUGUCGGUAAAGAAAUCGAAGGUGGUACUGAUGAUGUGGAAGCAUUGCAGGCACACAGUUUUUUCUCAAAGUAACUUGUAGCUUCAGAUCCAAGACCAAACAAUCUUUUCUUCUUUGCUCCUCCCGCAGCUUCAUAAUAUGUCUCCAAUUGAUCUAUUUCAGAUUCACAUUGUACUUUUUUCCGAUAAUUUCUUCAUACCUUUCCUGUAACAAGUGAAGUUAUUAAAAUAGACUCAAGUUCAUGUCAACAAAAAAGAAAAAUAAGAGAAGAGUAUCAUAUCUUUAGAUGUAAGUUAUGGACUUACAUGUAGAAGUCGGGAACGCUCACCAACAAAAGAUUUUCCAUCAUUAUUAUGUGUAUGGACGUGCAAAUGUAACUCACUUGGAGUUGGAUCUCGACCUAUUUUAAGAGCCUAUACAAAAUUUUCAGGUAGUUAGAAUGAGACCAACGUACAUUAGCAGUAUACCAAAAGAGAAUCAUGACACACCACCAAGUUUUUUUGCCCUAUUCUAAGCAAAAAAAUGUCAUCAAACAUGUUGGUAUAGCAGCAAAAUAAAGAGGAAAAAGAAGAGAGUAGCAGGAAAGAAUUGUUGCAAAACAAAAAGAAAAAACAAGAGAAACUGCAGCAAUUGCUUGCUGAAAAAAUAGCAUAAAACCAGCAGUUGCUGCAAUAAUAGAAAAAAGCAACAGUAACAAUUUCCAGCAACUAUUAGUGUAACAAAUAAGAAUGCACAUGUAGAAAACAGCUGCUGCAGUUCUGGAAAACAGCAACUAUUGGUUUUUUGGGCAGUAUGUUGCAGUUCUGGAAAACAGUUGCUUGCUGGAAAAGUAGCAUAAAACCAGCAGCUGCUGCAAUAAUAGAAAACAACAGAUAUGUUCCACAGAGAAAAUAUUCUUUUUAUUGCAAGAUAGAUAGAGGUAAGAUUGCAAAUACACUACCCUCACGCACACGGUGAGAUUACACUAGCUACGUUGUUNNNNNNNNNNNNNNNNNNNNNNNNNNNNNNNNNNNNNNNNNNNNNNNNNNNNNNNNNNNNAUAGAAUUAAUAAAAAAAAGUUGAUGAUUGAAGAAACAUCAUUAAUAUAAAUAGUAGAUAGCAUUUAAAUAGAAGUAAAGGAUAUUAAGGAAGAUAUUUUAGGGUUAAAAUAUCUACCUUAAUAUCCUUGUUUUGCAGCCCAAACAAGGUAGCACUACUACCAGUUGCUUGGUACGCACUUUAGAAACAACCAUAGCUACUAAAACAACGAAGUAACGACUUAAAACUAAUCAGCUAUUUCAAGAUAAGAAGCACCAGACCAUAGCAUCACAUAUAGCGCCAAAAUAAAGUGGAAAAACUAGCAUGUCAACAGCCAAAAGAACAUAGCAGCAGCCCAAACAAAAGAACUUUCCGGGUUGAUGAAAAAUUUUCAUGAAAUAUAUACUUACAAGUUUUUUUCGGUGCUCUCCAGCUGUGAUAGAGCCACCAGUGUGUGUUCCAGCAGCUACUUCAUGUCCACCACAAUGAUUCUUUGAAUUUAUCUCAGACUUCUUAACACAGUCAUCACUUUGCCAAAGUUCCAUCCACUUUUCCCACACAGGGUCAUUUACAAAUUCCGGUUGAACUGUAGCUCUAUGCUUCUUUAUAUUGGAAAUGAAAUUCUUGUAGUAUAAUCCAGCCUUCUUCAUCCAUUGUUGCUUCACCAGAACUUCACUAACAGAAGCAUCCCAAUAGAAAUUCUUUUGAAAUUCAGUUUAAAGUAAUAUAAUUAAGUGUUAGCUGCAAACUCAAACAACUUUAAAAAACGUACCUUGAAUUCUCCAAAAUAAUCAUCUUUGACAUCUUGUGAAACACCUUUUCAGUUGAUCCCAUUAGGAUCAACUACACUUUUGAAAGACAAUGUAAUGGAACUGGAGCAUUUGGAAGAUGGUUCCAACCUGUACAACAUCAAAUUCAAAAUAAAUAACACUACACAACAUCUAUGUACAAAAAUAGUAAACAUAUAAGUAGUAGGUACUAACCCUGAAGAAGUUAGAAAAAUAAGGGUCCGGCCAUCGUUACAACUGGAAUCUCCUGAAGCAGAUACAUUUCUCUGACUAGAUGUUGCCUCAGCUGCUGUGUUGCUUUGAGCAUUCAUAUUCUGGCUUGUUGGGCUGCUUUGGUUAGGUGUACAGAAGAUGUCUUAGGAAUGACCGGUGUUUGAUUGGGUGGCAUGGUCGAAAUGAAACUUGUAUCAUCCUGUUCGAUUACUGGAGCUGGAAUAGAAGGAAUUUUUGCACGAUUAUCAGCCUUACUCCUGCCCGUGGACUUGCCGGCACGAUAUCUACCUCGAGUCAUAUCUGAAAAAAUAACGGUGUCAUUAGAUUAUCACUAUUAAAAAUCAAAUUAAAAUGAUGCAAUAUGAAAAAUUAGUAGAUUAUUAAAAGGAAACCAAAAACUUAUAAAAUGAUGAUAUCUUAGAGAAAAAUUAGUAAAAACAACAUACAACAAAGCUAAAAUAACACAUUUUUUCGAAGCACUUGGCACAGUCUAUGUUUUGAACUAAAAACAAACUACAACAAAGCUAAAAUANNNNNNNNNNNNNNNNNNNNNNNNNNNNNNNNNNNNNNNNNNNNNNNNNNNNNNNNNNNNNNNNNNNNNNNNNNNNNNNNNNNNNNNNNNNNNNNNNNNNNNNNNNNNNNNNNNNNNNNNNNNNNNNNNNNNNNUUCAUAUUCUUCUUCUGUACAUCCAUCUUGAAUUUCAUGAUGCUCUUCAAAUAAACCAUCAUUAAGAGGUUCAUUCAUUUCAAGUACACCCCCAUUUGGAUCAUGCAAUAGAAUAUCUUCAUCUACAGAAACAAACAUAUAUAUCUCAUGGACUUCAACUUCUUCAACUUGAAAAGGAACAUUCAGUUAUGAAGUUAUCACCACUUUCUCAACUGGAAAUGCAAUAAAAUUUUGAGGUUUGACCUUCAAUACAACUAGCCAAUCUUCUUUGUCCUUUUUCUUGCUUAGAUAAGGUACAUAAUAUACUUCCGUUGCUUGCAUUGCAAGAAUAAAAGGCUCAUACUUUUUAUAUCGACGACGAUGGUUAAUAUCAACCAAUUUGUACCGAUCAUGCUUCUUAACACCGACAUCUAUUAUUGGGUCAAACCAUUCGCAUUUGAAUAACACAGUUUGCUUUAAAGGUGCUUCACGGUAUUCCACUUGUAUGAUCUCUUUUAUUCGCCNNNNNNNNNNNNNNNNNNNNNNNNNNNNNNNNNNNNNNNNNNNNNNNNNNNNNNNNNNNNNNNNNNNNNNNNNNNNNNNNNNNNNNNNNNNNNNNNNNNNNNNNNNNNNNNNNNNNNNNNNNNNNNNNNNNNNNNNNNNNNNNNNNNNNNNNNNNNNNNNNNNNNNNNNNNNNNNNNNNNNNNNNNNNNNNNNNNNNNNNNNNNNNNNNNNNNNNNNNNNNNNNNNNNNNNNNNNNNNNNNNNNNNNNNNNNNNNNNNNNNNNNNNNNNNNNNNNNNNNNNNNNNNNNNNNNNNNNNNNNNNNNNNNNNNNNNNNNNNNNNNNNNNNNNNNNNNNNNNNNNNNNNNNNNNNNNNNNNNNNNNNNNNNNNNNNNNNNNNNNNNNNNNNNNNNNNNNNNNNNNNNNNNNNNNNNNNNNNNNNNNNNNNNNNNNNNNNNNNNNNNNNNNNNNNNNNNNNNNNNNNNNNNNNNNNNNNNNNNNNNNNNNNNNNNNNNNNNNNNNNNNNNNNNNNNNNNNNNNNNNNNNNNNNNNNNNNNNNNNNNNNNNNNNNNNNNNNNNNNNNNNNNNNNNNNNNNNNNNNNNNNNNNNNNNNNNNNNNNNNNNNNNNNNNNNNNNNNNNNNNNNNNNNNNNNNNNNNNNNNNNNNNNNNNNNNNNNNNNNNNNNNNNNNNNNNNNNNNNNNNNNNNNNNNNNNNNNNNNNNNNNNNNNNNNNNNNNNNNNNNNNNNNNNNNNNNNNNNNNNNNNNNNNNNNNNNNNNNNNNNNNAAAUAAUGAGAAAAUAGUUGUGUUGACUCCAUCAUCAAGUACGCUUCACAAAUGGAACCUUCAACACUAGCUUUAUUCCCAAUCAUCUUUUUAAGAGUUCCCAAAUACCUAUAUACAGAAAAAGAUGUAACAUUAUGUUUUGAAAGGUUAUGUAUUAAUUAACUGUCACAAGUUUGACAUAGAGCUACAUAUUUACCUUUCAAAAGGAUACAUCCAUUGAUAUUGCACAAGUCCAGCAACCCUUGCUUCAUAUGGAAGGUGCACAGGAAGAUGUUUCAUUGAGUCACAGAACCCAGGAGUAAAUAUACGUUCCAACUUGCACAAAAUUUAUGGAAUAUAUCUCUCUCUAAUUGCACCAUAUCAUCCACUCAUAGAGUGGUCGAAGUAAGAUCCUUAAAAAAUAAGCUCAAUUCUGUAAGUGCCUGCCACACAUUACUAGGAAGUAGUUUACGAAAAGCAAUAGGCAUUAGUCGUUGCAUGAACACAUGAUAAUCGUGACUCUUCAUUCCAAAUAACCUUUUCACAUUUGUGUCUGGCAACCUGCCCAAAUUUGAAACAUAUCCAUCUGGAAACUUUAAGCAUUUCACCCAAUUAAACAAGAUCGCUCUUACUUCCUUGUCUAAUGUAUAGACAACUUUUGGAUAUUGGCCAUUACUAUCCUUUCCCAAUUGAGGUCAAUCACAAUAUUUUGCUGUAUCUAACCGUGACUGUGGAUUAUCUUUAGUUUUGUCAUCAAAAUUAAGAACAGUGUUAAAUACAUUAUCAAAGAAGUUUUUCUCAAUAUGCAUAACAUCAAGAUUAUGUCGAAUCAUGUUAGAACUCCAGUAUGGCAAAUUCCAAAAGAUGCUUCACUUUUUCCACCCACAUGUCUUACAUAUUAUUUUAUUAACUUGUUCUGCAUCUAACUCUGUUACAUUUCUUAUCCCUAAAUUACAAAUUUGGUUCAAAAUUUUCUCUCCUGUUCUAUUUGUUGGGGGGAGGUCUUCUGACAGUCUGGCCUUUAAGAAAGUUCUUUCGAUCUCUCCUAAAUGGGUGGUGCUUGUCAAGGAACAUUCUGUGGCAAUCAAACCAGGAUUGUUUUCUUCCAUGCUGCAAUCUAAAAGAUUGUGUUUCUUCCAUACAAUAAGGACAUGCUAAUUUACCUACAGUACUCCAUCCCGCUAACAUAGAAUAUGCAGGAAAGUCACUAAUUGUCCACAUCAAAGAUGCCCUUAAUUAAAAGUUUUGCCUUUUUGAGAUGUCAAAUGCUUCCACACCUAUCUCCCACAACAAGGUCAAUUCCUUAAUUAGGGGUUGCACAUAAACAUCAAUUUUAUGUUUGGGAUUGCUGGGACCUGGAACAAUGAUAGUUAAGAACAUAUAAGCCUCUUUUAUGCACAUUCCUGGAGGUAAAUUGUAUGGAGUAACAAUCACUGGCCACGAAGAAUAUUUUCUUCCAGACUGACUGAAUGAUUGAAAACCAUCUGUACAUAACCCCAACCGGACAUUUCUUGGUUCAACGGCAAAAAAGGGAUGACUUUCAUUGAAGUGCUUCCAAGCCUCAGAAUCUGAUGGAUGAUGCAUCACACCAUCCUCUUUUUUAUGCUCAUGAUGCCAUCUUAUGUCAGCAGUUGUAGCAUGAGAUGCAUAUAAUCUUUGCAAUCUUAGAAUCAAAGAAAAAUAAUACAUUCUCUUGUAAGGGAUCAAUUUUCUCUUACGAGAGCCAACACAACGCUUAUACCUUGGCUUGCUACAAAAUUUACAAGAUGUAAGGUGUUCAUCAUCAUCACCCCAAUACAACAUACAUCCUGAUUUACAAUAAUCAAUCUUUUCAACUGGCAAACCCAAGCUACGCACUAACUUCUUCGUCUGAUAAUAGUUAUCAAGCACGAUGUUAUCUUCAGAUAAAGACUCCUUAAGCAAUUGCAUCAUUUGGUUAUAGCAUCACUGUGACAUAUUGUUCUCCAUUUUAAUAUUCAACAUUCGAGAGACAAAUGUAAGUUGAGAGAGGGAUGAACCGGGAUAAAAUUCCGCAUCAGCAGCAUCUAACAAAUUAUAAAUUUUUUUGGAUACGGGAUUAGGAUCUUCCUCCAUUGAAUGUUGAAAAGGAUGAAAUGACUUGGGUUCACUAUUGCUAUAAGAUUGCCAACUUGAACCCUGAGAAAACUUGGGACCAGCUGCAUCCAAAAUCAUUUGUUGAUAUGGAUUCUCUUCGAAUAUUGGUUGACCACCACCAUGCAAUGCAUUACCAUAAGAAGUCUUACUUCUAUCAUUUCUUUCCCCUAGAUGCUUCCAAAUAAAAUAGUUCUCAAUAAAUCCAAAUUGAUAAAGGUGACAUUUAACAGUUUCAACAUCCAUGAAUUUAUAGUUCUGACAUUUUGCACAUGGACAUCUAACUUUGUCACCACUCAUACGAUUUGAUUGAGAACAUGCAAAUUGAAUAAAUUCAUCCACCCCGGUUACAAAUCUAGAGUAUAAACCCCCUCGGCCAUCUAACCUCUCAUACAUCCAACUACGCUCUAGAUUAUUCAUGUUCCUAUUAAGAUUGAAAUAAAAAAAAGGAUAAUCAAUGCUAAUUAACCAGCUUAAUAAGAAACACUACAAUUAGUCUUAAUUAAUAAUUAACCUUGUUGGAAAUGUUUAUUAACAAAUACGAUAAUGUAUGAUCAUGCUCUAUAUAAAGAACUACUUAGCAAAGAAAGCAUAAUUAAGUUGAUCAAUUGACAGUUAAAUAGUUUCACUAAAUUAUUCAAACUUAUGCUCUUAAAGUAGAAAACAAAACUAGUUUACCUUAAAAAUAAGAUAAAAGUGAUACAUACUUCUAUUUUAAGUUACAAACAUAAUCAAGAAGCCAACAAGCUUACCAAGAAAAAUUAAAAAGUCGAAAGAAAGUUUUAAAACACACCUGAUUGAAUACAAUACUCUACUUAUUUUACCACCAAUCUACAACUGCACUACACCAAUUUCAGUAAAAAGACACCUGAAAGAUAAGUGUAUCAAAUAAGUAUUUGAAUAUAUGACACACCCCGUUAACAUUUUUGCAGAAUUCAAGCAACAUUGAUGUACAUACAAAACAUUUGUAAAGAAUCGGUUAUCAAUUUAUUGGUUAAAACUAUUUCCCUUAUAUAUUUUAGAGCUUUCGUGGAAUAUAGAAGUAUUAUGGAAUUACUUUUUUUUCUUUAGUAUAGUUGGAUAAAUAACAUAUGAUGUACAUAUGAUGGCUAAAUAACAUGGAAUAACUUUUUAUCUUCCUAAACCACCUCACUGGACGAAUUAAAUGGCAAAUAAAGGCCAAGACAGGGUAGUAGUGUCACACAUCAUAAGAGCACUUACAAAGAACAAAAAGAGGAAAAUACCUCAAAUAGCUGGUUCCAUCAAAGCCAAAAGAAAGUAGUCACGAAUCAAGAAUCUUUCCUUGCAGAUCAGUUCAGAAAUUACAUGCAAAUAGAAUUAAUCAGUUGAAUAGAGGUCAUAUUGGAAGCACGUAUCCAAGAACUUGAAGAUCGAAAGCUGAUUCAGUAAAAAGGAAGACAAGUGAAGCAAGAGUAGUGAACAAUUUUGAUCUAGAAAUGGAGAGGCACAUCAGUAUAGAGGGGAAAGUAUCUCAUUUUAGAGAGGAAGAGAUGGGGGGCGGGUGAAAAUGAAUAAAACCCUAGAGGCCCCCCCUUUUCUAUAGUAAAAAUAAUUAAUUAGAAAACUAUAAUUAAUAUUUUACGACGGCAUAGUUGGUAAAUAAUUAACAUAGCGACCAAAAAAUUCGUUGCUAAUCCGUCACUAAAUUUGGGCGCCAAUUUUUCCCGCUAUUAUUUAGUGACGAAAAUCAAAUUCCGUCACUGAUUCAUUGCUAAGAACAUAUCAAAAAAUUAGACUGCAAUGUCUGCGACCAAAUUGAAUGUUCCGUUGCUAAUCCGUUGCUACAUAGUAAUGAAAUUUGGUCUGUCAGUAAAUUUCGUCGCUAAACACAGUUUUUUUGUAGUGGUUUUGCACCAGGAGGUAAAUCAGUUAAAACCCAAGUAUUAUUUUUCACAAUUGAAUCAAGUUCAAUUUUUAUUGCCUCUUUUCAAAAUUUAGCAUCAGAAGAAAAUACAGCUUCAAAAUAAUUUAAUGGUUCAUUAUCAACAAGAAAAGUCUGAAAAUCAUUUUCAUAAGAAAAACUCUCUUUUCUAGGCCUUUUACUCCUCCGCAGUUCCUCAAUAUUAGAGGUGGAUUCGUUUUCUCUUUCAACAGGUGCAUGAGAGAUUUUAUCACACAGUGGAAAAAUAUGUUCAAAGAAUUCAGCAUUUUUUUUUCUCAAUUAUAGUAUUUACAUCAAGUACAUCACUUUUCAAGAUAAGAAACUGUAUGCAACACUAUGUUUAGCAUAUCCAAUAAGCAUGCAAUCAACAGUUUUUGAACCUAUUUUCCUCUUCUUAGGUUCAGAAAGAAGAACUUUAGCAAGACAACCCCACACUUUUAAAUAUUUCAAUUUAGGCUUAUAACCUUUCCACAACUCAUAAGGGGUUUUUCCAGUUCUUUUAUGAGGAAUUCUAUUCUGUAAAUGACAUGCAGACAAAAUAGCUUCACCCCACAAAUUAUCAGGUGCACAAGAGCUAAUUAGCAUAGAAUUCAUCAUUUCUUUCAAUAUCUUAUUCUUCCUCUCAGCUACACCAUUUGACUUAGGAGAUAAGGUAGAGUAACUUCAUAAAUAAUACCUUUUUUUUCACGAAAAUCAUUCAAAGAUACAUAUUCUCCACCUCUAUCAGAUCUAAUUCUCUUGAUUUUUCUACUAAGCUGAUUUUCAACUUCAGAUUUAUAAGACACAAAAGCAUUAAAUGCAUCAUCCUUAUUUCUAAGCAGAUACAACUUAGUAAAUCUAGAGAAAUCAUCAAUAAAAGUCACAUAAUAUCUUUUACCACCUCUAGUCAUAUUUUGUUUUAAAUCACCCAAAUCAGUGUGGAUCAAAGAUAACAAUUCAGAUUCUCUAUUAAUUUUAGAUUCAACACAUAUUUCACAUUUUUCAAAAUUACUUAAAUCCAAAUCAGAAAUUAAACCAAGAGAUUGCAUAUUCGUUAAAUAUUUAAUAUUAACAUAUCCUAAUCUAGCAUGCUAUAAAGAAAUAGACUCAACCAUAUAAGUAGAAGCCGAUGCAUUAUCAUUUACAGUAUUAAGUACAUAAAGUCCAUGGUUACAAUAACCUUUUCCCACGAAUACAUUAUUUUUUGUCAAAAUAACCUUAUUAGAUUCUAGACACACUUUUAUUCCAGCUUUAUCCAGCAAGGCCACAGAAAUCAAAUUUGCUCGCGUUGUAGAAACAUGCAGCACAUCCAUAAGGGAUAAAGUUUUUCCCGAAGUGAGUUUUAGGAGAACUUUACCCUUACCUAGAACUUUUGCAGUUGUUGAGUCACCAAGGUAGAUCUUUUCACUAUCAUCUCCUAUUGAUGUAUAGAAGGCAAAUGCUUCUCGAUUUACACAAAUAUGUCGAGUAGCCCCAGAGUCUACCGCCCAUUCUUUUUCAUGUUCCACCAUAUUUACUUGAGAAAUAACAGCUGCAAUUAUUUCAUCUCCUUCAGCUAAAUUAGCUUUGGGAGGAUUUCUCAUUUGUUUGUUAUUUCUUACUCUGGGCCUACACUGAGCUGCAUAAUGACCUGAUUUUCCACAUAUAAAACAAGAGCCUUUCUUUUCUUAAAAUUGGGAUUAAAAUGCUUGUAACCUUAAGACUUAUUAUCAUACCUUCUGUUGUUGUUGUGUUGACCUUGUACCAAAUUUGCUUUAAGCACAGCCUGCUUAGUUUUGAAUGACUCCUUCCUGUUGGUAUCUUCAAUUAAAAUAUAAGUUAUUAUUUCCUCAAUAGUAAAAUUUUCUGUCAUAGUUUCUUAGAUUAUUGGGGAAUAAAGAAAAAUAAUACUACUAUACAACUGUGAACAAAAUAUUAUCUUGAUAAAUAUUAACAAUACAAUAUAACAGUGUAUAUAUAUUUAUUAUACUUGAGUCGUGCUGAGCACCGUCCUAAGAAACUAUUUCAGCAGUGUGAAAUGUUUUUCCAGGAUUAAACAAGCACUUCUCUAAAUAUUUAGAGGAUACAGGAAUCAACAAAACUAUUAAUACAAAUAUCAACAAGUUAAUUUAGAAAAUGAUAUAACUAAUAAUAAGGAUUGUAUAAUAGUAAUGGAGAAGUAAAUGAAAUGGAAAAGAAGAAUGAUUUAAACAAAGUGUGUGUUAGUAUUUUUUCUCUCUACUUCAUAACAUACAAAGAAGCAUACAUAUAUAUAUAUAGGCAAAAUAAUGAAUAUUCUUCCUACCAGAUUAUAACAAGUGUUAGUACACUUGUUUUUUUAUCAAAGGAAAGUUGCUUCUUUUGCUAUUAUUGAUACACAUAUUAUACUAAAUGUCAAGAAAGAACUAUACUUCUUUCAAGAUUAUACAAGUGUCAUACCAUAUGUUUUGAUUCAAUGGAGUAAUACAACUUUGGCUCGUUUCCAUACACCUACAUAGCCAAAUGACAAAUUUAAAAACAUUAUGUAACACCUUUUAUUUUUCAUGACAAUGAUUUUUUUUUUUUUCAAAUAAUAAUUAUUUUGAAAUAAACUAUAAUUUUUCCUACAUGCACUUCAGCCUGUAUAGCCAGUAGAGUCUAAUAUGUUCAAAUUUUCACAGAUUUGGCUAGGGUUGGGCGUUCGUUAUUCGGUUUGGUAUUUUCAAAGUUUGAGUUCGGUAAUUUGGUAAUCAGUAUUUGAACGUAGAUACCACAUACCAUACUUUUAUAAACAUCGGUUCGGCAAUCGGUAAAUUAAACUUCGGUUCGGUACGGUAUUCAGUAAUACCAUAUUAAAGUUAGAGAUGUGCAAAUGUACGUUUAAACUUCAAAGAGUAUAUUUAAUAGAAACCCUAUUUAGUAUUUUACGAAUAUAUUACCAAGGUCCAAGAGAUUCUUUGGGAUAACUAAUACUAUUGUCUAUUGGGUUGGUUAGACAUAUCGUGUUAUAUAUAUAUAUAUAUAUAUAAUAUUCGGUAAAUACCAAAUACCAAAGGUAUUAAUAUCUUUUACCAUACCCAAUCUCGAAUACCAAAAUAUUGAAAAUUUACUCCCAAAUACCAUACCAAAUAUCAAAUUACCGAAUACCAAUUACCAAAUUUUUUUAUUCGAUUCAGUAAUUCGAUUUUCGAUAUUUUAUGCUCAGCCCUAAAUUUGGCUAUAGUUAUUUUGAUGAUGGACCAAUUUUAUUUAUUUAUACCUAAGUUAAUUCAUCUAAAAUCAGCAGUCCAAAUAUAUACAGCAUGGUGAUGUCCACCAAUCUUGAGCAAUAGAAAUGCUAGAUCUUAACACGUGAUAAUGUAUUUUUGAUACUGUACUAUACAUUUAGUCUUGAUAAUGUAUAACAAUUAGUGCAUUCAUGUUAUCAUUUUUAUUUACGCCGUAUAUCUCUUACAAUAGGGAAGUCAUAGAAUGUAAUGUGAAAUCGUAAUAGCGAUGGGUCGUCACGUUAGAUGGGUUGGACUAUGACUCUUUAAUUUGUUAGUCUAUCUUAAUCCAAUUCAUCUUUGCUGAAAUAAAUUUUAGAUAAAGUUAACCGAUAACUCAUUUAUUGAUUCAAUUCAUUUUGACACGUUCAUUUAUCACCCCUAAUUUGUACCGAUAAUGGAGCCAAAUUUUUAAUUUGAAAAAUCAAAAUAUAAGAAAUUAGAUAUACCAAGAUUUAAGAUAAUUUAACACACACAGUCACACAGCCCACUGCUGGUUUAAACCAUAAAAAACAUGUGCGAAGCGCUAUUGUUAGUACGGAAAAGUGGACGGAGAAAUAUAGAGAUGAUCGAUGGACGGAAAAUUGUGCCGGCCAUAUGAUUGCAAGAUUGUAAAAUCUUAUAGUAGGGUGUGUUUGAUAAUAUGCAUGGGCGGAGCUGGCAUAUACGUACUCGGGAGUUUAUUCGAACCCCUUUCGGCGAAAAAUUAUACAUGAUUAAAAUUAUUUUUUAUGUAUAUAUAGCAGAUGUUGAACCCCUUCAGUUAGUUCGUGUGUACACUUCUGAGCCCCUUGCUGAAAAUCUUGAAUCCGCCGCUGUUGGUAUGAGGAAAAAUGUUCUUCAUCAAAUGUAUUUUCUUCACAAAUAAUUUAUGAGAAACAAUAAAUACUUUUUAGCUUUUUUUGUGUGUGUUUGAUAUAUAAGUAAAAUAUGUUAUCCUAAUAGUAUUUGUAUGUAAUCUAGACAAAUAAUGUGAAAUUUGGCCUGGGGACGAGGUAGAGAUGUGGAAUGGUGAGGAUGGAGGUGUGAUUCGGGUUGAAGAUCACGUGUGUUAGAGGGUACUAAUCAUUUCCAAGAAAUUUAUCUUUUUUGAGCAUAUUUUCUAAAAUUUUUGAUCAAUCGAAUAAGAAAAAUAAUUGGAAAACUUCAUGUCAAACGCACCCAUAAUGACAAUAUUUGAAUUAUAUGUUAAAAUUUGAGUUGAUAUGCUUGGAAGUUACCACGUCAGUUAUUUUGAUAAUGGAAUCUUAAAAUAGCAGCGAUAUUGUCCAACUCUCCGGCCAACAAAAAAAAUUAUCAAUUUUAGUAAAAAUACUUCGAAAAUUAUUAUAUGAAAAACUGAUUGAAAUUUCUUAACUUUUAAUUUAAUGUCUGGAAUUCAAAUUUCUCAAAUGAAAAACACAUUAAUAAGGAAUAAUUUAUCUCUGUAUAUUCUGAUUUUAUCCUAAACGACUUUCAAAUUCAUUGAAUCAAUAAGUUUCAAAUAUUGAAUAAUUACAUUUUAAAAAAGAAAACAUCGUACGAGCUGAUUUUGUUACGUAACUUAUGUGUUUAACAAGAAUCUUUUCAAAUUGAGAAAAUGUCACAGGAUGUAGCUUUUUACGAGAGAAGGCUCAAAAAUCUAACUAAGCGAUGGAUGAUAAAGACUUAUUAAUUCAUACUUAACGUUUAUAUUAGAAUUCGAUCAUACAAUUUAUCAUGAUUACUUCAUAUUUAAGGUGAAGUACUCGAAUUAACUAUAUACUAUAUGAUUUAACGAUAAUAAUUUGUGUAACUUAGAGACAUGUAUGAAAAUACUAAAUAAACUACAGUGUAAUGAUAAUAAUGUAUCCAAAGAUAUGUGUCAUAAAUUUGUUAGAUUAAAGAAUCAUGGUUCGUAUCUGUUUUGCACCAUGAAAAUGAAAAUGAUUAUGAAAUAGCACCAUCUUUUCUUUGCCUUUUUUUUUGGGUAGCAAACUGGUAGUAGUUUUAUAUUACAUAACCAAAAACUUUACACAGUUGGAGUUUUGGGAACUCCUUAUUACAAACUGAGUAGUAGUAGAAGCAGCAGGACUAAUAUUUACAACCCGAGCGGUAGUACAACUAUUAGACAAGCUAGCUAGUAGUAUUAAUAGUAGACGGCACUCUUACACGUCUAAGUACAGGGACUUCAUGUUUGUCUGCAGGCAAAAUAUCCAGCAAGGAUGUUAAUAGAACUCGUAGUAGGACUAUCUAACAUUAUUGUAGUAGUAGUUGCAUUAUGUCAUAGCAGCUAGUCCAUCAGCUAGUUGGUUCUGUUCCCUAUAUAUAUGACGAAGCUGGGGGUUACCCAAUUCUCUGAGAAGGUACCUACCUGCAAUCAGCGAAUAAAGAAACAUUAUCAUGAGCAGAAGCAGAUAUCACGUUCACAAGUUGUUGUGAUCGAGUCAAUAUUUACUUCCAACGGGGUAAAAUUAUAUUGUUGCGCUAAGCUUAAUCCUAACAGAAGUGCUUAGCUUGGGCUUCUCCGUCAAUAGGUUGAUCCAACUGACAAUAACUUUUAAAUCUACGGUAUUACUCCCUCCAAUCUAUUUUAUUUAUCGUGUUUUGUUUUGCACAAUCCUAAAGAGAAAAAUUAACUAAGAAAAAUGUAUAUCGCAUUUAAUUAUUGACACAAAUUCAUCAUCAUCAUGUAUACCAAACAACCUCUUUUCUCCAAAGAAAAAAGAGCAUUAUAACAUGUAUUUAUAGGAUAUGAUAUCAAAUUAAAUAAUUACUUAUCCUGUGUUCGAGAAGGAUUAAGAAAAUAGGCAUUCUCUGACAAUAUUCCCGUGAAUUUUAUCUUUUGACUGUUAGUUCAUUGUUGGUUGUCCAUUGAGGAGCAAUAUUUUUUCAAUCAUUCUGUUUCCUUUAAAUGGAGUACUUUCUCCUCCAACUUAUAUUUAUAAAAAAAUAUCAAAGCUAUAAAAAAUAUAAUCACUAUAUAGCAUAUAAUUCUCUCACUUUCUCGUUUCCAGUAUAUAUUCAACUAGCUUAUCAAAGUUUGAACAUGCAUGGUUUCCAAUUUGCAAAGACUCAUCAAUAUUAGCUAAUGUAAUAAUGUUAUAAACAGAAAAAGGUACAAUAAAUAGGAAUAUAGUCAUAAUAUUAGAACAAUGGUUAAUGAAAUUCUCAGUUAUUGAAAACUUGUUGAUGACUAAUAAUAUAUAUUAUAAAAAAAAAAAAAAUCAGCUUAGAUCUAUCAUAUAUCAGCAAAAGUUAUAGAAGCACAAUUGAUUUUUUUCCAAUAGCAAAUUGUCAAUGACCAUUAGUUUACACUAAUUUAAUCAAAGAAUAAUCACAAGACAUACAUGUUCUGAGAAAGCCUACCCACAAAAACAAAUAAAUUUUAAAUGAAAGAAUAUUAUAACUCAUAAUUGGAAAUCAUAAUAUUGUUGCUUAUAUAGGGACACGUUGAAGAAGACCAAAAUAACUUUCUUUUCUUAAGAAAAUAAAAAGAUUCUUCAUCUUAAGAUUAAAAAGAAAGAAAAAAAUCCAUUUCCAAUGUAUAAUAAUGAUACUCAAAAGAUAACUUAUCCAAAAAUGUGGUGAUAUAAAUAAGAUUUUUCCUCUAUUAAUCCUCAAAGAUAAUGGGUUUGAUCUCUAGAAUGAAGAAGUAUCAAUGACGACAAGAAGUGAAUCUACAAUAAGUGAUACGAAUUAGGUAAAACCAACUAUUUUUGAUUCAAAUCUUGUAUUAGAUUAAAAAAUCUACUCAAUAUGGAUAAAUAAUCCCAAAAUUUCUAGGCAAAAAGAUUGUGCGUUCAAAAUUCAUAAACUAUCUCUAGAAUGAAGAAAUAUCAAUGACGGCAAGAAGCAGAUCUACAGUACCUAAUUCGAGUUAGGCAAUAUCAAUUAUUUUUCGUUCAAAUUUUGUAUUAAGUUCAAAAGUCUGCUUAAUAUGAAUAAAUAAUCCCGAAAUCUCUAAGCAAAAAGACUGUGAGUUCAAAAUUCAUAAACUAUCUCUAGAAUAAAGAAAUAUCAAUGACGGCAAGAAGCAAAUCUAUAGUACAUGAUACGAGGUACGUAAAACCAACUAUUUAUGAUUUAAAUCUUGUAUUAGUUCGUUAGAUUAAAAGAUCUACUGAAUAAGAAUAAAUAAUCUUGAAAUCUCUAAGUAAAAAAAUUAUGAGUUCAAAAUUCACGAACUUAAUUAACUCUUCCUCUUUCAAUUAACCUCAUACGACACAAAUUGAAUUAGCCAUCGAACCAGCGAAUUCUAAAUAUGCUAGAGGUUGAAACAAAAACAUAAUAAGAAAAUGGUAGGCCAAGGAAUUGAAAUAUUUAUUAAGAGAGGAAAGUGGAAGGGAAUUUCUUAAGAAUGAUUAAAUUAAAUAUAAUGUAUCAUAGGAGCACUAGAUAGCUAGGUUGUUGCCAACAUGGUUGUGGUGCACAUAAGGAACCGCUUCACUCUUAUCAGAGAUUUCGGAUUUGAAACUUGAAUAUGAAGAAAAUUUUAUUGAGUGUGCCAUCACCUACAAUUAAGGUCUUGCAGUGUAUUUGAAUUAGUCGUAGCUGCAAUACAGAUACCUACCACCGAGUGAAAAAAAAAAAAUUAGCAUAAGUAGGUUGUUUGAAGGAAAGAUGUCAAAAGAGAGUUGGGUAAAGGUGAGGCUGGCGCACAUGGAUUGAGCCAUUGAGGGUACAAAUACCCACUGUCCCCAUACCCAUUUGCUUUAUUUUUGGACCUAGCUGGCUUGGCCUUGGCCCCUCUAUUUAUUCUGUUUGCUUCAAUAAAGCUUAGCACAUGCUUUCUCCCUUGUCUUGGACUUUCUUUAAAAUUUAAUAUUUUUAUUAAAAAAUAUUGGGUUGCCAGAUAUGUUUGUUUUUGGGUGUUUUGGCAAAAAAGGGGUGGUGGGGAUAUGAAGAUUUAAUAUAAAAAUGAAAAAGAAAUUAAAAAGUAAUUUAUGAGUAUCAAUUUGAGAAGAUUUUUGUUGACUUUUAGAGUAGUUAGUUAAAAUUUUGGAAGAGAUUACUAAUUAGAUGAGACUAAUAUUUUUUAUUCCCAAUAUCUUGAGCAACUAAUGAUAAAAAAUAAACCAUCAAAAUUUCUGAGUUUCAUACUUGAACUAGGUGUAUGAGUUUUCAACCUAAAUUAUCACUAAUUAUCUAUCAAAACGCACGUCAACUAUAUAUCAGUUGUUCUCUUUUCCUACUUGAAAUAUUACCAACGUUCAAGUAAGAUGAUGAAACAAAUUAAAUAAUAGUCGAAGGUGUUUUGAUAAAUAGUUAUGUUGGUGAUAGUUAAGGUAUAAAAUUGACAUCCUGCUAUAUAGUUGAAAUAUGAAACUCGAAAGAUCGAAUCACUAAAUAUGCGUAAUAGUUUGAAUUAUGAAGUAUAGAACAAUACAUAGUAGAAAACAAGAAAAUAAAUAAUUAAUCUAAGAAAAAGUCUCAUUAAUUAUAUCAAGUAUAUUUCUUCCUCAAGAGUUGGGCAGAAUACAAAUUAAAUUUAAGUUGGUUAUAAAUCUCGUCCUAAUGUUGUUUUGAGCAAUAUGUUCAUUAAAGUUGUCCACCACUGUGUUGAACACAAACCAGAAAUUUUCAUUUAUUUUUAAAGCAAUAAUAAUAAUAAUGGGAUUAAAAAGGAGAUGUAAUUAAAUUAAAGCUCCUCAAAAGCUUUAAUAAGCAUAAGAAAAUAUACCUGAGUUUGUGGCUUU
rnacentral:lncRNA from 1 species